CGCUGGCGGCGUGCCUAAUACAUGCAAGUCGAACGGUCUUUCUAUGGAAGCUUGCUUCCACUGAGAAGAUAGUGGCGAACGGGUGAGUAACACGUGGGUAACCUGCCCAUAAGAGGGGGGAUAACAUCCGGAAACGGGUGCUAAUACCGCAUAGUUUUCUUGAUCGCAUGAUCGGGAAAGGAAAGACGGCCUUUGUGCUGUCGCUUAUGGAUGGACCCGCGGCGUAUUAGUUAGUUGGUGAGGUAACGGCUCACCAAGACGAUGAUACGUAGCCGACCUGAGAGGGUGAUCGGCCACAUUGGGACUGAGACACGGCCCAAACUCCUACGGGAGGCAGCAGUAGGGAAUCUUCCGCAAUGGACGAAAGUCUGACGGAGCAACGCCGCGUGAGUGAAGGUAAAGGGUUUUCGGAUACGUAAAACUCUGUUGUCAGAGAAGAACAAGUUGGAGAGUAACUGCUCCAGCCUUGACGGUAUCUGACCAGAAAGCCACGGCUAACUACGUGCCAGCAGCGGC
rnacentral:rRNA from 1 species